rnacentral:rRNA from 1 species
AGAGUUUGAUCCUGGCUCAGGACGAACGCUGGCGGCGUGCUUAACACAUGCAAGUCGAACGGAAAGGCCUGCCACCUUGGUGGUGGGUACUCGAGUGGCGAACGGGUGAGUAACACGUGGGUGAUCUGCCCCGCACUGUGGGAUAAGCCUGGGAAACUGGGUCUAAUACCACAUACGACCAUGGCGUAGGGGUCAUGGUGGAAAGCUUUUGCGGUGUGGGAUGAGCCCGCGGCCUAUCAGCUUGUUGGUGGGGUAAUGGCCUACCAAGGCGGCGACGGGUAGCCGGCCUGAGAGGGUGGACGGCCACAUUGGGACUGAGACACGGCCCAGACUCCUACGGGAGGCAGCAGUGGGGAAUAUUGCACAAUGGGCGCAAGCCUGAUGCAGCGACGCCGCGUGGGGGAUGACGGCCUUCGGGUUGUAAACUCCUUUCGUUAGGGACGAAGCCGCACCUUUUUUUGGGUGUGGUGACGGUACCUUUGUUAAGAAGCACCGGCUAACUACGUGCCAGCAGCCGCGGUAAUACGUAGGGUGCGAGCGUUGUCCGGAAUUACUGGGCGUAAAGAGCUCGUAGGUGGUUUGUUGCGUCGUCUGUGAAAUUCCGGGGCUUAACUUCGGGGUGGCAGGCGAUACGGGCAUAACUAGAGUGCUGUAGGGGAGACUGGAAUUCCUGGUGUAGCGGUGGAAUGCGCAGAUAUCAGGAGGAACACCGAUGGCGAAGGCAGGUCACUGGGCCGUUACUGACGCUGAGGAGCGAAAGCAUGGGGAGCGAACAGGAUUAGAUACCCUGGUAGUCCAUGCCGUAAACGUUGGGCACUAGGUGUGGGGGACAUUCCACGUUUUCCGCGCCGUAGCUAACGCAUUAAGUGCCCCGCCUGGGGAGUACGGCCGCAAGGCUAAAACUCAAAGGAAUUGACGGGGGCCCGCACAAGCGGCGGAGCAUGCGGAUUAAUUCGAUGCAACGCGAAGAACCUUACC